CCUACGGGGGGCAGCAGUGGGGAAUAUUGGACAAUGGGGGGAACCCUGAUCCAGCCAUGCCGCGUGUGUGAAGAAGGCCCUCGGGUUGUAAAGCACUUUCAGUGAGGAAGAACGCCUGGUGGUUAAUACCCAUCAGGAAAGACAUCACUCACAGAAGAAGCACCGGCUAACUCCGUGCCCGCAGCCGCGGUAAUACGGAGGGUGCGAGCGUUAAUCGGAAUUACUGGGCGUAAAGCGCGCGUAGGUGGCUUGAUAAGCCGGUUGUGAAAGCCCCGGGCUCAACCUGGGAACGGCAUCCGGAACUGUCAAGCUAGAGUGCAGGAGAGGAAGGUAGAAUUCCCGGUGUAGCGGUGAAAUGCGUAGAGAUCGGGAGGAAUACCAGUGGCGAAGGAGGCCUUCUGGACUGACACUGACACUGAGGUGCGAAAGCGUGGGUAGCAAACAGGAUUAGAUACCCCUGUAGUC
rnacentral:rRNA from 1 species